GCAGAUUAAAAUACUAACACAGCAAGCUCACAAUCUAAAGUUAUUUACAGCUACUUUAAAGUUUUCAAUAAUAAAUUUCAACAACAAAUCUAACAAUUUUUAUGUUUAUCUAAACACUAAAACUUCAGCUCCUGGUUUUAUUCAAUUUGAAGCCACUUUGAAAUAGAGAAGAAGCUGAAUAAUAGAAUUAGGUGAAGAAUCCAGUUCUACUUCUUAGUGAAAAAUAACUAGUAAAAUACCUAUAUGGUGGUCAUGAUGAACCUGUUUAAAUAAAUGGGGGGAAAGUGGGUGAAUUUAAUAAUUCAUCCUUCUCUAGAACCUAUGGAUCAGUCAGGAUACAAACCCAGGAAUUAUUAGGAAACAAAACUCAAAGAAAUGUCUUUACUCUCUACUGCUGAAAAGGUUGACAAACUUAUCCUUUAAGUCAUGCUUGUUGGAAGCCUGCUUUCAAGAGACUACCUCUUCUCUGCAUCAUAAAUAGAAGCUACAGGAGAUUGAGAGUCCACAGACAGGGCUACAAGAAAUUGCUGUCCCCUUUACCACCAGGUUUUACCAGGGACCUGAGAUGUCAGUAGAAAAUCCCCUGCAAGUCAAUCACAGGUUGGCCUAAUUUUGAAUCUCAGAUUACACUGUUUUGUUGUGUGAAGACAGAUAGGAAACUAUCUGAAGCCAGAGCUGGGAUCUGCUCAUGUGGAGUUCUGGUGGCAGUGAGUGGUCGGUCCACUCUUGGAUUGAAACCUCAGAUUAGUGAGCUAUCCAGAGAUGGCUUUAAUUUCCUAUGGAACAGAGAGAGGAAGGAGAGCAAGGAAACUCACCCCAAAUCUGGCCAUUCAGGCUGUGUCUCAGUGUUCCAUUUUCAUGCCCUUUGCAACAAGAUUUGUUCAGAUAAGUGUUUCCAUUACAAUUUUCGUGGACCCUCUGCUUCCCCAUUCACACAUACCCCUCUGAUGCUGUAGAUCCAUUUGUCUACAGAGUUCCUUUGGAGACCCUAAUAAAGAUACCCCAGCAGGGAACCAGUGGUGGCCUGGCCAUGAACAAGCCAAUAUCUGUAAUUAAACAAUCUGCAAGCACAGAAACAGCAUCCCAGGCCAUGAGCAAGAGCCGGAAUGUUGUUCAUGAGGUGUUUCCUUUGCAUUUCUCCAUUCAAUAGUGAUGGGUAGCAAAAAGCCCCUUUUGUGCAAAUAAUAAUUAGUUCUGUGUCCUACUUUGAUUUUCUCUAAGACUUUUGAGAGGAGGCUAUUUAGAUUUUUAUUUUCCUCCUCAAGAGCAGCUUCCUUUCUAAAAUGCUUUUCUCUCACGUGCUGGAGGAGCGUGUGCAUCAUUCUGAAAUACCCAGGCAGUUGCCUUUUGCCAAAAUUAAUUCUCUAAGAAAAAUAGAAUGGUCUUUUUGUUUUUCUUUUUAGGAUUUAAAGCCUGAAAGGGAUCAGUGGAAUUUUGAAAGCCCA
rnacentral:lncRNA from 1 species